UGGUACUUAACACAUUUUUAUUAAAUGAAUGAUGUUAUCAUCUAAAGGGAAUAGCAGAAAGCAAAAGGGAACCUAUUUAGCCUGGUCAUAGAGAGAACGUUGGAUACGGGUUUGGUAACUGUGAACAGGUGUGAACAGGUUCUUCCAUGGCUACAUACAUUACAUUGUUUUACCUUUAGCUCUAUGAUCUAUGAGAUCUCUUACUGGCUAUAAAUGUGAUACUGGAAAUGAAAUAUAAAUAGAAAACAAGGAUAGUUGAAAGAUACGAAGUAAGAGAAUCCUGAGAAUGCAAUCUAGUCUAAAGAGAGUCUCUGCUGAUCGGGCUCGGUAACCUCUAAGACUAUUAUGCCAGGCUGCCCAGCAAACUAAAAUAACAAUGACUGAAUUCCUUUAUUAGACCAAAAAGAAGAGAGAACAUUGGCCAGGCGUGGUGGCUCAUGCCUGUAAUCCCAGCACUUUGGGAGGCCAAGGCAGGUGGGUCGCCUGAGGUCAGGAGUCUGAGACCAGCCUGGCCAACAUGGUGAAACCCCAUCUCUACUAAAAAUACAAAAAAUUAGCCGGGCAUGGUGGCAGGCGCAUGUAGUCCCAGCUACUUGGGAGGUUGAGGCAGGAGAAUGGCAUGAACCCGGGAGGCGGAGCUUG
rnacentral:lncRNA from 10 species